rnacentral:misc_RNA from 1 species
CAGAGUUUUUAACUCCCAACCCUUGCGAACCGUACCCCGUUCUGUUCUCGUUGCUUCUGGCGGGAGGGGAGGGGCGCGUCCUUCGGGGCGUGCCUCUCUCUCCCAGGUCCCUUCGGGGCGCCCGCCAGCGGCCGCGAGCCGCCUGAACUUUUUAUAAACCAGUAACGAAACGUCUGAGAAACAAACAAAAACAGCCA